UACAGAGGGUGCGAGCGUUGUCCGGAAUCACUGGGCGUAAAGGGCGCGUAGGUGGUGGCUUAAGCGUGCGGUGAAAGCUCGGAGCUCAACUCCGAGUCGGCCGUGCGAACUGGGCUCACUGGAGCAUAGUAGAGGCAGGUGGAAUUCCGGGUGUAGCGGUGGAAUGCGUAGAGAUCCGGAAGAACACCGGUGGCGAAGGCGGCCUGCUGGGCGUAUGGCUGACACUGAGGCGCGACAGCGUGGGGGAGCAAACAGG
rnacentral:rRNA from 1 species